rnacentral:rRNA from 1 species
UACGAAGGGGGGCUAGCGUUGCUCGGAAUCACUGGGCGUAAAGCGCACGUAGGCGGAUCUUUAAGUCAGGGGUGAAAUCCUGGAGCUCAACUCCAGAACUGCCUUUGAUACUGGGGAUCUCGAGUCCGGGAGAGGUGAGUGGAACUGCGAGUGUAGAGGUGAAAUUCGUAGAUAUUCGCAAGAACACCAGUGGCGAAGGCGGCUCACUGGGUCUCUUCUGACGCUGAGGAACGAAAGCUAGGGGAGCAAACGGG